rnacentral:rRNA from 1 species
UACGGAGGGGACUAGCGUUGUUCGGAAUUACUGGGCGUAAAGCGCACGUAGGCGGAUUUGUUAGUCAGGGGUGAAAUCCCGAGGCUCAACCUCGGAACUGCCUUUGAUACUGCAAAUCUCGAGUCCGGAAGAGGUGAGUGGAAUUCCUAGUGUAGAGGUGAAAUUCGUAGAUAUUAGGAAGAACACCAGUGGCGAAGGCGGCUCACUGGCCCGGUACUGACGCUGAGGUGCGAAAGCGUGGGGAGCAAACGG